GAGUUUGAUCCUGGUUCAGGAUGAACGCUAGCGACUGGCUUAACACAUGCAAGUCGAGGGGUAACAGGGUAGCAAUACCGCUGACGACCGGCGCACGGGUGAGUAACGCGUAUGCAACCUGCCUAUAACUGGGGAAUAGCUCCCUGAAAGGGGAAUUAACACCGCAUAAUACUAUUGAUUCGCAUGGAUUGGUAGUUAAAUGUAGCGAUACAGGUUAUAGAUGGGCAUGCGUGACAUUAGCUAGUUGGUGAGGUAACGGCUCACCAAGGCUACGAUGUCUAGGGGUUCUGAGAGGAAGGUCCCCCACACUGGUACUGAGACACGGACCAGACUCCUACGGGAGGCAGCAGUGAGGAAUAUUGGUCAAUGGGCGCAAGCCUGAACCAGCCAUGUCGCGUGCAGGAAGACUGCCCUAUGGGUUGUAAACUGCUUUUAUAGUAGAAGAAACACAUCUACGUGUAGAUGUCUGCCAGUAUACUAUAAUAAGCAUCGGCUAACUCCGUGCCAGCAGCCGCGGUAAUACGGAGGAUGCAAGCGUUAUCCGGAUUUAUUGGGUUUAAAGGGCGCGUAGGCGGGACUGUAAGUCAGGGGUGAAAUACUGCAGCUUAACUGUAGCAUUGCCUUUGAAACUGU
rnacentral:rRNA from 1 species